CGAGAGAUGAAGAGCUUGCUCUUCAAAUCGAGUGGCGAACGGGUGAGUAACGCGUGAGGAACCUGCCUCAAAGAGGGGGACAACAGUUGGAAACGACUGCUAAUACCGCAUAAGCCCACGGAUCCGCAUGGAUCUGCGGGAAAAGGAUUUAUUCGCUUCAGGAUGGACUCGCGUCCAAUUAGCUAGUUGGUGAGGUAACGGCCCACCAAGGCGACGAUUGGUAGCCGGACUGAGAGGUUGAACGGCCACAUUGGGACUGAGACACGGCCCAGACUCCUACGGGAGGCAGCAGUGGGGGAUAUUGCACAAUGGGGGAAACCCUGAUGCAGCGACGCCGCGUGGAGGAAGAAGGUUUUCGGAUUGUAAACUCCUGUCGUUAGGGACGAUAAUGACGGUACCUAACAAGAAAGCACCGGCUAACUACGUGCCAGCAGCCGCGGUAAAACGUAGGGUGCAAGCGUUGUCCGGAAUUACUGGGUGUAAAGGGAGCGCAGGCGGACCGGCAAGUUGGAAGUGAAAACUAUGGGCUCAACCCAUAAAUUGCUUUCAAAACUGCUGGCCUUGAGUAGUGCAGAGGUAGGUGGAAUUCCCGGUGUAGCGGUGGAAUGCGUAGAUAUCGGGAGGAACACCAGUGGCGAAGGCGACCUACUGGGCACCAACUGACGCUGAGGCUCGAAAGCAUGGGUAGCAAACAGGAUUAGAUACCCUGGUAGUCCAUGCCGUAAACGAUGAUUACUAGGUGUUGGAGGAUUGACCCCUUCAGUGCCGCAGUUAACACAAUAAGUAAUCCACCUGGGGAGUACGACCGCAAGGUUGAAACUCAAAGGAAUUGACGG
rnacentral:rRNA from 1 species